UCAUGACAGCCUUUUACCUACAGACUGUCAUCACAGCCUUUUAUCUGUUGUUGGAGAUUGCCAAGCCUUCGAUGGGCCUACAAGGUACAAAUGAGUCCAGGCCCCCUCCGUAAGAGAUAGACAGACUGCCUGAGUCCAGGCCCCCUUCGUAAGAGACAGACAGACUGCCUGAGUCCAGGCCCCCUCCGUAAGAGACAGACAGACUGCCUGAGUCCAGGCCCCCUCCGUAAGAGACAGACAGACUGCCUGAGUCCAGGCCCCCUCCGUAAGAGACAGACAGACUGCCUGAGUCCAGGCCCCCUCCGUAAGAGACAGACAGACUGCCUGAGUCCAGGCCCCCUCCGUAAGAGACAGACAGACUGCCUGAGUCCAGGCCCCCUCCGUAAGAGACAGACAGACUGCCUGAGUCCAGGCCCCCUCCGUAAGAGACAGACAGACUGCCUGAGUCCAGGCCCCCUCCGUAAGAGACAGACAGACUGCCUGAGUCCAGGCCCCCUCCGUAAGAGACAGACAGACUGCCUGGGUCCAGGCCCCCUCCGUAAGAGACAGACAGACUGCCUGAGUCCAGGCCCCCUCCGUAAGAGACAGACAGACUGCCUGAGUCCAGGCCCCCUCCGUAAGAGACAGACAGACUGCCUGAGUCCAGGCCCCCUCCGUAAGAGACAGACAGACUGCCUGAGUCCAGGCCCCCUCCGUAAGAGACAGACAGACUGCCUGAGUCCAGGCCCCCUCCGUAAGAGACAGACAGACUGCCUGAGUCCAGGCCCCCUCUGUGGGAGGUCAGAAGUGGCCAAUUUGUGAGGAAGAUCAGAGUCUGGGAAGCAUUGUACUUUUUAUGAGUCAAUGCAGGAAAAAUGGGAGUUAAACAGGUGUGGCCUAUAAAAAGGACUUGUUUGUUCUCUUGUUUGCAAGGUUAGACCAGAUUAUAUUACAUUGCCUGUGGCCUAAAUGUGUGAAAUGCUAUUAUACAUCUGUUUGGCUGGGUCUCGACAACCAGUCUGCUACAAUUAGAUUUGGCCUACAUACAAUUCACUAUAGGUGCUCAGAAACAAUGUGUUUUUCAUGAUGAACUUCCCAUAUUCCCCCAGUAGCCGGGUACAAGAGGAGAGAAAAGGACCAGGCUGCAUCUUUUAGUCAAAGGUUAAAGGUUAAUCAACAGUGAAUUUCACUAGACUGUAAUCACGUUUACCCAGUAGGACAGCAGGGCUCCAUAGGCCUGUUAAACCAGGCUACACCAACAGAAUAGUAUGGUCACUAUGGAAGAUCUUUAUUACAUUGUAAUAAAUACAACAUGCAACCAUUAGAUUAAUGAGUAUUUGUCUCCAUUUAAUAUAAUAAUGUCUAAUUAUU